GAUGAAGAACGCAGCGAAAUGCGAUACUUGGUGUGAAUUGCAGAAUCCCGUGAACCAUCGAGUCUUUGAACGCAAGUUGCGCCUCAAGCCAUUAGGUUUAGGGCACGUCUGCCUGGGCGUCACAUAUCGUUGCCUGAUGCCAGUUUCCUCGUGAUGGGUGACUGUGCAGGGCGAAUGAUGGCUUCCCGUGAGCAUUGUUGCCUCAUGGUUGGUUGAAAAUUGAGUCCUUGGUAGGGAGCGCCGUGAUAGAUGGUGGUUGAGUGACGAACGAGACCCAAUCAUGUGAGACCCCUACCGAAUUUGGCCUUCAUGACCCACAUGCGUCUUUGGAACGCUCAUGACGAGACCUCAGGUCAGGCGGGGCUACCCGCUGAGUUUAAGCAUAUCAAUAAGCGGAGGA
rnacentral:misc_RNA from 1 species